rnacentral:rRNA from 1 species
UACGGGGGGAGCAAGCGUUGUUCGGAUUUACUGGGCGUAAAGGGCGCGUAGGCGGCCAGCACAAGUCAGUUGUGAAAUCUCCGAGCUUAACUCGGAACGGUCAACUGAUACUGUGCGGCUAGAGUGCGGAAGGGGCAACUGGAAUUCUUGGUGUAGCGGUGAAAUGCGUAGAUAUCGAAGAGGGAACACCUGCGGCGAAGGCGGGUUGCUGGGCCGACACUGACGCUGAGGCGCGAAAGCCAGGGGAGCGAACGGG